rnacentral:lncRNA from 1 species
AAAGAAAACAGAAAAGGGAAACAAAAAAUAAAAAUAAAAGAAGAAAAAGAAAAAGGAAACAAAAAGAAAAAUAAAACAGGAAACAGAAAAAAGGAAAAAAUAAAAAUAAAAGAAGAAACAGGAAAAAGAAAAAGGAAACAAAAAGAAAAAUAAAACAGGAAACAGAAAAAAGGAAAAAAUAAAAAUAAAAGAAGAAACAGGAAAAAGAAAAAGGAAACAAAAAGAAAAAGAAAACAGGAAACAGAAAAAAGGAAAAAAGAAAAAUAAAAGAAGAAAAGGAAAAAGAAAAAGGAAACAAAAAGAAAAAGAAAACA